GACAGAGGUGCCAAGCGUUAGGCGGAAUCACUGGGCUUAAAGCGUGUGUAGGUGGAUGUCUAAGUACCUUGUGAAAUCCCAUGGCUCAACCAUGGAACUGCUUGGUAUACUGGAUGUCUUGAGCCACUUAGGGGCUACCGGAACAAAUGGUGGAGCGGUGAAAUGCGUAGAUAUCAUUUGGAACGCCAUGGUGAAAACAGGUAGCUGGGAGUGUGCUGACACUGAGACACGAAAGCCAGGGAGCGAACGGG
rnacentral:rRNA from 1 species